UACGGGGGGGAGCAAGCGUUGUUCGGAUUUACUGGGCGUAAAGCGCACGUAGGCGGACUGUUAAGUCGGGGGUGAAAUCCUGGGGCUCAACCUCAGAAUUGCCUCCGAUACUGGCAGUCUCGAGUGCGGGAGAGGUGAGUGGAAUUCCCAGUGUAGAGGUGAAAUUCGUAGAUAUUGGGAAGAACACCAGUGGCGAAGGCGGCUCACUGGCCCGUAACUGACGCUGAGGUGCGAAAGCGUGGGGAGCAAACAGG
rnacentral:rRNA from 1 species